GACGAACCGUGCGAACGUUGUUCGGAAUCACUGGGCUUAAAGGGCGCGUAGGCGGGUGGCCAAGUCAGGGGUGAAAUCCGGCAGCUCAACUGUCGAAUAGCUUCUGAUACUGGUCGUCUUAAGGGGGUAGGGGCAUGUGGAACUUCCGGUGGAGCGGUGAAAUGCGUAGAUAUCGGAAGGAACGCCGGUGGCGAAAGCGACGUGCUGGACCCUUUCUGACGCUGAGGCGCGAAAGCCAGGGGAGCAAACGGG
rnacentral:rRNA from 1 species